AUAUGCCUUCAGGACCCAGGACUCAAGCAAACAUUGGUACUGUAUCUUAGAUACAUAUGGAUUAAAUAGGCUGUAUGCACUGGCCUGGGAACGGAAACAAUAUUUACAAUGUUGUUUCUAUGGGAAAACAUGUUCCAAGUUCUAAAUAACUUACAAACGUUUGGAAUAUACUGACACAACAAGCUUUAGUUAUGAGAUCUAUUAGGAAGACAGGAUAUAGAUUACAGUUGACUUGGAGUCAAUUCAUAUUGACCUCCCUUUUUUUUUGACCUCCCACUUUUCCUUCAUAGGCUGGUAAAGGAAUAAAAUGUCACGAUUUACACAGGCAAACUCCUCCCUCCCCAUCUCCUUUCCUUCAACAAACACUGACUGAGCAUUCAUCAGUCUGCCUCCAUGAUGUACUAUUUUGGAUGCUGAAAGUACAACAGUGAAGAAAACAGACUGACUCUCUGUCCUCGUGAAAGUCACAUUUUCGAGGAGGAGGCAGAAUUUCAACAUGAAGCCCUAAACAACGGCCAUUUUGAGAAUAGGAGCAAAGCCUUAAUAUAAUCUGCCCUUGAGGAUGGA